GGGUUUGUGGCCUAGCCUGGAUAUGGCGUUAGCCUCCUAAGCUAAAAGUCAGGGGUUCGAAUCCCCUCAAGCCCG
rfam:Methanoplanus limicola DSM 2279 chromosome, whole genome shotgun sequence.